rnacentral:rRNA from 1 species
GAUUGGUUACCUUGUUACGACUUAGCCCCAAUUACCAGUUUCGCCCUAGGCCGCUCCUUACGGUCACGGACUUUAGGCGCCCCCGGCUUUCAUGGCUUGACGGGCGGUGUGUACAAGGCCCGGGAACGUAUUCACCGCGCCAUGGCUGAUGCGCGAUUACUAGCGAAUCCAGCUUCGUGGGGUCGGGUUGCAGACCCCAGUCCGAACUGAGACAGGCUUUAAGGAUUUGAUCGUACUUACGUACAACCGUCUCUCUGUACCUGCCAUUGUAACACGUGUGUAGCCCCGGACGUAAGGGCCGUGCUGAUUUGACGUCAUCCCCACCUUCCUCACACCUUACGGUGGCAGUGUCCCCAGAGUGCCCAGCUUGACCUGAUGGCAACUAAGGAGAGGGGUUGCGCUCGUUAUGGCACUUAAGCCGACACCUCACGGCACGAGCUGACGACAGCCAUGCAGCACCUGUGUCUGAGUUCCCGAAGGCACCAAUCCAUCUCUGGAAAGUUCUCAGCAUGUCAAGGCCAGGUAAGGUUCUUCGCGUUGCAUCGAAUUAAACCACAUCAUCCACCGCUUGUGC